AGGCAUGUGCACGCCCUGCUCAUCCACUCUACACCUGUGCACUUACUGUAGGUCUGCGUGGGUUUCUAGCCUCCGGGUUGGGAGCAUUCUGCAGGCUUAUGUAUACUAUAAACACUUUAAAGUAACAGAAUGUAAACGCGUCUAACGCAUUUUAAUACAACUUUCAGCAACGGAUCUCUUGGCUCUCGCAUCGAUGAAGAACGCAGCGAAAUGCGAUAAGUAAUGUGAAUUGCAGAAUUCAGUGAAUCAUCGAAUCUUUGAACGCACCUUGCGCUCCUUGGUAUUCCGAGGAGCAUGCCUGUUUGAGUGUCAUGAAAUUCUCAACCCAUAAAUCCUUGUGGAAGUAUGGGCUUGGAUUUGGAGGUUUGCUGGGUCCCCUGGGUCCGGCUCCUCUCGAACGCAUUAGCUUGAUUCCGUGCGGAUCGGCUCUCAGUGUGAUAAUUAUCUACGCUGUGACCGUGAAGCGUUUGGCGAGCUUCCAACCGUCUUUUUUGGACAACCUUAUGACAUCUGACCUCAAAUCAGGUAG
rnacentral:rRNA from 1 species